GAUGAACGCUGGCGGCGUGCCUAAUACAUGCAAGUCGAGCGAACAGACGAGGAGCUUGCUCCUCUGACGUUAGCGGCGGACGGGUGAGUAACACGUGGAUAACCUACCUAUAAGACUGGGAUAACUUCGGGAAACCGGAGCUAAUACGGGAUAAUAUAUUGAACCGCAGGGUUCAUUAGUGAAAGAGGGUUUUGCUGUAACUUAUAGAUGGAUCCGCGCCGCAUUAGCUAGUUGGUAAGGUAACGGCUUACCAAGGCAACGAUGCGUAGCCGACCUGAGAGGGUGAUCGGCCACACUGGAACUGAGACACGGUCCAGACUCCUACGGGAGGCAGCAGUAGGGAAUCUUCCGCAAUGGGCGAAAGCUUGACGGAGCAACGCCGCGUGAGUGAUGAAGGUCUUCGGAUCGUAAAACUCUGUUAUUAGGGAAGAACAAAUGUGUAAGUAACUAUGCACGUCUUGACGGUACCUAAUCAGAAAGCCACGGCUAACUACGUG
rnacentral:rRNA from 1 species